rnacentral:rRNA from 1 species
UACGGAGGGAGCUAGCGUUGUUCGGAAUUACUGGGCGUAAAGCGCGCGUAGGCGGCUUUGUAAGUUAGCGGUGAAAGCCCGGGGCUCAACUCCGGAACUGCCUUUAAGACUGCAUCGCUUGAAUCCGGGAGAGGUGAGUGGAAUUCCGAGUGUAGAGGUGAAAUUCGUAGAUAUUCGGAAGAACACCAGUGGCGAAGGCGGCUCACUGGACCGGUAUUGACGCUGAGGUGCGAAAGCGUGGGGAGCAAACAGG